AUUGAACGCUGGCGGCAGGCCUAACACAUGCAAGUCGAACGAGUGGCGGACGGGUGAGUAAUGUAUGGGAAACUGCCUGAUGGAGGGGGAUAACUACUGGAAACGAUAGCUAAUACCGCAUACCAUCAGAUGUGCCCAGUUGGGAUUAGCUUGUUGGUGGGGUAACGGCUCACCAAGGCGACGAUCCCUAGCUGGUCUGAGAGGAUGACCAGACACACUGGAACGGAGACACGGUCCAGACUCGUACGGGAGGCAGCAGUGGGGAAUAUUGGACAAUGGGCGCAAGCCUGAUGCAGCCAUGCCGCGUGUAUGAAGAAGGCCUUCGGGUUGUAAAGUACUUUCAGCGGGGAGGCGUUACCCGCAGAAGAAGCACCGGCUAACUCCGUGCCAGCAGCCGCGGUAAUAC
rnacentral:rRNA from 1 species